AGAGUUUGAUCAUGGCUCAGAAUCAACGCUGGCGGCGCGCUUAACACAUGCAAGUCGCACGAGAAAGCGGGAGCAAUCUCGCAAGUACAGUGGCGUACGGGUGAGUAACACGUGGGUAAUCUACCUCAUAGUGGGGAAUAACGCUGGGAAACCGGCGCUAAUACCGCAUAAGCUCGAGAGAGGAAAGCAGCAAUGCGCUGUGAGAGGAGCCCGCGGCCGAUUAGCUGGUUGGUAGGGUAAAAGCCUACCAAGGCAAAGAUCGGUAGCCGGCCUGAGAGGGCACACGGCCACACUGGCACUGAAACACGGGCCAGACUCCUACGGGAGGCAGCAGUGGGGAAUCUUGCACAAUGGGGGCAACCCUGAUGCAGCGACGCCGCGUGAGCGAUGAAGCCCUUCGGGGUGUAAAGCUCUUUCGGCAGGGACGAUAAUGACGGUACCUGCAGAAGCAGCUGCGGCUAACUACGUGCCAGCAGCCGCGGUAAUACGUAGGCAGCGAGCGUUGUUCGGAGUUACUGGGCGUAAAGGGUGUGUAGGCGGUUUUCUAAGUUUGGUGUGAAAUCUCCCGGCUCAACCGGGAGGGUGCGCCGAAAACUGGGAGACUAGAGUGCGGGAUGGGAGAGUAGAAUUCCUGGUGUAGCGGUGAAAUGCGUAGAUAUCAGGAGGAAUACCGGUGGUGUAGACGGCUCUCUGGACCGCCACUGACGCUGAGACACGAAAGCGUGGGUAGCAAACAGGAUUAGAUACCCUAGUAGUCC
rnacentral:rRNA from 1 species